AUGCGAGGCACACACCAGUUGGACUCAUACUUUAGGAGUUGGUGUUAUAGGAGAACCCAUUAUACAGAACCUAAUUUUAGUAAAUGUCCUUUAUGGAACCCAACUGCAGAUCCAAGGGCUAAGUUGAGUGUGAGUGUGUGUGUGUGUGUGUGUGUGUGUGUGUGUGUGUGUGUGUGUUUAUAUAUAUAUAUAUAUACAUAUAUAUAUAUAUAUAUAUAUAUAUAUAUAUAUAGAGAGAGAGAGAGAGAGAGAGAGAGAGAGAGAGAGAGAGAGACUAGUCUUGUGAUUUCAUGAAUGUAAGAAAUAUUCUGUCACUGAAGACUGGCAACUCAUUUAUAACUUAUGGUCUUACAAAGUUGCCACUUAAGUAAUUUAGUGUCUUUCCCAUGAUCACAGAACCCUAAAAAUUCAAGAAAUAGGAAUUAAAUCUUGAUCUUUCUAGUUACAAAACCAGUUUUAUUUUCACUAUAACUCUACUAUAUCAGACUGCCCUUCCAUGUGAUACAUAUAUAUAAUAUAGAUAUAAAUACAAGUAUGCAUGUACAUGCAUGUCAUAUUCUAAUCACAUCUAUGCAUAAAUCUCACAUGUAUGCAAAAUAUCAUGUUAUAUAGUAUAUAAUUAAUAUUUCAUAUAUAUUGUUAUAUGUGAAAUUGUAUGGGAAAAGAUAUGUUCUCAUCCUAGUUGGUGAUUAUUUUGUUUUUAAUGUGUGUGUGUAUGUGUGUGUGUGAAUCAGAGGAAGGAAAUCCUCCCAGGUGUGUUUUGAAUCAGAGUGAUAGAAUAAUAGAACAGCUUCUGAAUUAAUUCCAUAUCCAUUCAUGGGGCUUGUUUGUUCCAUCUGUUCUCCUGUCAUUUAAUAUUUGUCACCUUCACCUAUUACACGAUGUUCUUAGAAUAGGAUUUCAGUUCCUAUUCAGAUUACAUAUGAUACAAUGGAUGAUCCCUCUGGAAUUUUUGUUUGUCUGGGAAAAACCAAAAUGCCCCUAUAAGCAUAAGAAAUUCAGCUAGAUCUAGUUCAGCUGCAAUCACUAAUAAUAAUAAUAAUAAUUAUAUAUAUAUGUAUAUAUAUAUAUAUAUAUAUAUAUAUAUAUAUAUAUAUAUAUAUAUGAAAUUGCUUCUCCUUUAGGGGCCUCAAUUUAUGAUUCCCUCUACAUGGAAAACUUGCCUGCAAUUUAGUCUUAAAGGAUUCCCUGGAGUAAUUUAAUGGCUAAAUGACUUGUAGAUGGUCAUAUAGUUUGUAUAAGUCAGAGUUAGGGCUCAAACAUAGGAGUUCUGCCUUCUAAUUCCACCCCUCUA
rnacentral:lncRNA from 1 species